CCAGACUCCUACGGGAGGCAGCAGUGGGGAAUAUUGCACAAUGGGGGGAACCCUGAUGCAGCAAUGCCGCGUGAAGGAUGAAGGUUUUCGGAUUGUAAACUUCUUUUGUACGGGACGAAGAAAGUGACGGUACCGUAAGAAUAAGCCACGGCUAACUACGUGCCAGCAGCCGCGGUAAUACGUAGGUGGCAAGCGUUAUCCGGAUUUACUGGGUGUAAAGGGCGAGUAGGCGGGAUUGCAAGUCAGAGGUGAAAACUAGGGGCUCAACCGAUAGAGUGCAUUUGAAACUGCAGUUCUUGAGUGAUGGAGAGGCAGGCGGAAUUCCCGGUGUAGCGGUGGAAUGCGUAGAUAUCGCGCAGAACCCCGAUUGCGAAGGCAGCGUGCCGUGCCGCCACUGACGCUGAGGCACGAAAGCGCGGGGAUCGAACAGGAUUAGAUACCCUCGUA
rnacentral:rRNA from 1 species